rnacentral:rRNA from 1 species
CCUACGGGAGGCAGCAGUGGGGAAUAUUGGGCAAUGGAGGCAACUCUGACCCAGCAACGCCGCGUGAAUGAUGAAGGUCUUCGGAUUGUAAAGUUCUUUUCUAAGGGAAGAAGGAAGUGACGGUACUUUAUUAAUAAGUCUAGGCUAACUGCGUGCCAGCAACCGCGGUAAUACGUAGGAGGCAAGCGUUUUUCGGAAUGACUGGGCGUAAAGGUUGCGUAGGUGGUUUGACAAGUUGGUAGCGUAACUCCGGAGCUCAACUUCUGAACUACUACCAAAACUGUUGGAAUCGAGGGCAGGAGGGGCAACUGGAAUUUCUAGUGUAGCGGUGGAAUGCGUAGAUAUUAGGAAGAACACCGGUGGCGAAGGCGAGUUGCUGGACUGUAACUGACACUGAGGCACGAAAGCGUGGGGAGCAAACAGGAUUAGAUACCCUAGUAGUC